rnacentral:rRNA from 1 species
CGACCUGCCCCCCGCAGGGGGAUAACCGGGAGAAAUCCCGACUAAUACCGCGUAACGCCGCGGGGCUGCAUGGCCCCGCGGCCAAAGGAAGCGAUUCCGGCGGGGGAUGGGCAUGCGGCGCAUUAGCUAGUCGGCGGGGUAACGGCCCACCGAGGCGACGAUGCGUAGGGGUUCUGAGAGGAAGGUCCCCCACACUGGUACUGAGACACGGACCAGACUCCUACGGGAGGCAGCAGUGAGGAAUAUUGGUCAAUGGGCGGGAGCCUGAACCAGCCAAGUCGCGUGAGGGAAGACGGUCCUACGGAUUGUAAACCUCUUUUGCCGGGGAGCAACGGGGUCCUUGCGAGGGCCCAAUGAGAGUACCCGGAGAAAAAGCAUCGGCUAACUCCGUGCCAGCAGCCGCGGUAAUACGGAGGAUGCGAGCGUUAUCCGGAUUUAUUGGGUUUAAAGGGUGCGUAGGCGGGCUGUUAAGUCAGCGGUCAAAUGUCGGGGCUCAACCCCGGCCUGCCGUUGAAACUGGCGGCCUCGAGUGGGCGAGAAGUAUGCGGAAUGCGUGGUGUAGCGGUGAAAUGCAUAGAUAUCACGCAGAACUCCGAUUGCGAAGGCAGCAUACCGGCGCCCGACUGACGCUGAGGCACGAAAGCGUGGGUAUCGAACAGGAUUAGAUACCCUGGUAGUCCACGCAGUAAACGAUGAAUGCUAGCUGUCCGG